rnacentral:rRNA from 1 species
UACGUAGGGUGCGAGCGUUAAUCGGAAUUACUGGGCGUAAAGCGUGCGCAGGCGGUUCGUUAAGUUCGUUGUGAAAGCCCCGGGCUCAACCUGGGAACUGCAAUGGAAACUGGCGGGCUUGAGUGUGGCAGAGGGGGUGGAAUUCCGCGUGUAGCAGUGAAAUGCGUAGAGUAUGACGGAGGAACACCGAUGGCGAAGGCAAUCCCCUGGGCCUGCACUGACGCUCAUGCACGAAAGCGUGGGAGCAAACA